rnacentral:ncRNA from 1 species
AGAUUAAAGUUAAUUUUGCUUUUUUUAAUUAGCUUAUAUUAUGAUAAUUUUAUAUAUUAGUUUUUGCGUGUUUAAUUUUUUGUCUUAAUGAUAAAUUAUUUAUUUUAUUUGUAGUUUUUAAUUUUGGUUUUUAUAAUUAAUGUUAUCUCCAGUUAAUUUAUUUAGAAUUGUAAAAUUUUGUGCCAGCAUAUGCGGUUACACAACUAAUUCAUGUUAAUUUUUUUGGUUUAUAUUAAUUUAUUUUUUUAAAAGUUUAUUUGUUUUUAUUAAGUGAAAUUUUAUUUUUAAUUAUAUCUUUUUGGUUUAAGAUUAUAUUAAAUUUAGGUAUUAGACUAGGAUUAGAUACCCUAUUAUUCUAAAUGUAAAUUUUGGCCAUAAUAUUAAUAGUUAUGAUCUUUAAAUUAUAAAAAUUUGGCGGUAAUUUAGUCUUUUCAGAGGAACCUGUCCUUUAAUCGAUAAUCCACGAUGGAUUUUACUUAAAUUUUUUGUUUGUAUAUCUCUGUCAUUGAAUGUUUUGUAAGAAUUUUAUUUUCUUUAAUUAUAAAUUUAUAAGAUGUCAGGUCAAGGUGCAACUAUAUUUAAGGUUGAUGAUGGGUUACAUUUAAUGUUAUUUAUUGGAUUAUAAUUGUUGUAAUUACAUUUAUAAAAAAGGAUUUGAAAGUAAUUUUUAAUAUUUAUUAAUUAUGAUUUUAGCUCUAAAUUAUGUACAUAUCGCCCGUCACUCUCAUUACUAAGAUGAGAUAAGUCGUAACAAAGUAAUUUUACUGGAAAGUGAAGUUGGAUUUAUU